rnacentral:rRNA from 1 species
UACGGAGGAUGCAAGCGUUAUCCGGAAUUAUUGGGCGUAAAGCGUCCGUAGGUGGUGAUUCAAGUCAGCGGUUAAAGCGUGGGGCUUAACCUCAUACAGGCCGUUGAAACUGGAUUGCUAGAGUGCGGUAGGGGUCGAGGGAAUUCCCAGUGUAGCGGUGAAAUGCGUAGAUAUUGGGAAGAACACCGGUGGCGAAAGCGCUCGGCUGGGCCUGCACUGACACUGAGGGACGAAAGCUAGGGGAGCAAACGGG